rnacentral:lncRNA from 1 species
AAUGAUUGAGUCCUUCCACUGCUUCUACAUCGGCGCACCCAGAGAUAGAGGCUCAAGUAUCUGACGAAACCCUGACAGCUCUUGUCUUACAUUCCGAUGAAGCAGGUACAUAGUGUACUGAAUAUAUGGUUAGCUCAAGUUUCUUAGAUAUUACUGAUCAUACUAUUUUGCAAAUCGAAUGAAUAUAUGGUUGUUAAUAUUCUAUUAGACCUUAAGCUCUUUCAAAUUAUAUUGUGGAACCAUAUAAGUAUCAGUUGUCCAACCUUAUGACCUCAAUUAGUUACAAAAAAAAAAUCAAAACUUUGAGCAAUAUAUAUAAUUAUGAUUCAGAAUUAGGAAAACCUUUGGAGAAAAGAAGUCGACGCAUGUUGCAUUGAGAACAUAUUGAACUGCUAUGAAAUUCCUUUUAAAAGUGAAUUAUUUCAUCCUCAUUUGUUCCAUCUCUCUCUUGUUUGUUCCUGUGCUAACCCUGAGACUCACAAAGCAUUAUGUAAUUUCAAGCUCUAGUAUACAAUAUUUAUUAACUGUUUUGCCUUAGCUACUCAUACUGAUAUUGUUAAUUAUAGUAUAUGAGUUUUUCCUUAUCUAAGCUUGUUUAGUUUUGACAGAUUAGGAAAGUGUUUAAGGAAUUUUAUCUGUAACGUACGUACUUUAGCAAUAAAAUUCAUAGGAAUAAAAAAAGUAUUUGUUAUGAAGAAGUAAAGUAACCGUCAAGGGAGACAUAAAGGAUCGUUACUUUAAUCUCUCCCCUAUCCUAAAAAUCCAUUAAGAAAACAAUAACAUACAAAAAAAGCAACUUCUUUAAUUUCAUCCUCAAAACUUGUCUCUAAUAGUUUUAAACUCAACAAUAAAAACAAAGAAUUAGACAUCUAGAGCUCGUCGUGAGACUCAUCUUCCUCCUCAGUCGGUGACUCUCCGCCUGCACCUGGUGCUCCGCCUGAUCUCU